AGAAAAGGCAAAAUUUUAAUACUUUGUUGAAGCAUAUUGGAAAUGUCUCUUCUAAAGGGGAGCCCAGGACAUGUGACUAACCAGAAUCCUGAAGUUGUUGUGCCUGAAUGGAGUAAACUAAAUGUCAGAAGCAAGUGGUUCUGAGGAGUGCAAGGGGUGGCCUGCAGUGGCUGCUAUUGGCAUCCUUCUUAUUCCCCAGCGGCUCCACAUUCUCAGCCUCAGCUCCUUCAUCUCCCUCUGACUUCAAAGGAAUCUCUGCAUGAAGAAGGAGGGCGCACAAUAGAAGAAUUGGCCUGAUUAUCCCCUUCUGUUUGGAAAUGGGUGAAGAUUACAGAUAUGUUUUACUUCUUCCUGUGCUUUGGACUAUAUAAUGUCAACUACCUCAAGCAAAACUCUCUACCCUGGCUAAUAUAUAGAUUUGGAUUAUACCAAAAUUGCCUAAAAUUGGAAACAAGACAUUAAUAAUAAUCUGUAAUGGCGUAACAUAAUAGAAUACAUGUUUAUUUUCAUUGGCUUUAGCUGGUAUUAAAAAAAAAGGUAAAUUAGUUUAGAGAUGUAAAUUUUAUAUUUAUUAUAUCCUGACCUUUUUGCUCAUCCUCCACCACUUUAUAUUAUGAAUGAGGUAAUUAAAAAGAAUCCACUU
rnacentral:antisense_RNA from 1 species